rnacentral:rRNA from 2 species
CGAUCUCAAAUCAGGUAGGACUACCCGCUGAACUUAA